UACGAAGGGGGCUAGCGUUGCUCGGAAUCACUGGGCGUAAAGGGUGCGUAGGCGGGUCUUUAAGUCCGGGGUGAAAUCCUGGAGCUCAACUCCAGAACUGCCUUUGAUACUGAGGAUCUUGAGUUCGGGAGAGGUGAGUGGAACUGCGAGUGUAGAGGUGAAAUUCGUAGAUAUUCGCAAGAACACCAGUGGCGAAGGCGGCUCGCUGGCCCGAUACUGACGCUGAGGCACGAAAGCGUGGGGAGCAAACAGG
rnacentral:rRNA from 1 species